AAAGCUGGAGGAAGAAAUUAUUGAUGCAAAAUACACUCUGACAUGUGACAGAAUUGUGAGCUUGAAGGACAAGGCAAGGAAGAUUGAAGAAAGCAUUGAGCUGACUAGAAGAGACAUGGUUCAUCCUACAGAGGUGGAAAUUGAGCUCAAGAAGAGGCUUGAUCAACUAACUGAUCGGUUGAUUCAGAAACAAAUGCAGGUGGAGUCCCUAUCUUCAGAGAAGGCAGCUCUGUCAAUGAGAAUCAAGG